UCCACCUGAGAAGGCUAGGAUUGACCAAAAAAGCAAACAGCCUCCACCUGUCUGGGCUUUUGGCUUGUCCAAACAAGAGGCUUAGUCACUGGGUGAGAAGUAGGCAGACAGUAGCUACAAUGGAGGGGGCCGUACCUUCUAAAAGUUGGUCCUACCCCUUUUAACCUUCAUUAUCCCCCUAGUGCUCUCCCUUACCCUUCCUCCACAGCAGACAUAACUGGAGCAGCAAUGCGCUUCUGGAGAUCUGGUUUGGUUACCUUGUCCAAGACCAAGCCCCUUCUCUGACCUCCCCAUGGGGGAUGAGGCAUGGAAACUUUUAAAGGUGGUGCAAGAAAACUCUGGGGAGAGAAUCAGCAGGUGAAGGAGUAGCUCUGUGAAUCCUGUUUUAAGGGUAUGUCAUGUGUCAUGAAAUACAUCAUCUUGUCAAAGAAAUUUAAACUAAUAUCAGCUUCAGUAAGGAUCUGAGGUUGUCAGAUCACAAUUCACAAGAUGUGUAGUUAACAAACGACUCACAUCGCAAAAGGCACAGUAAAGGGAGCUGCAGAACAAGCACAAGUCGCUGUGUCUCUUGCCUUGAACAAAAAUAAAACCAGCAACACACAGACUACAACGGAGGAAAUAGUUAACCCGUUCUUCAGCUAUGUGGGUCCUCAAAAUAUGCUCAGUUUGGAGAAAGGUAACACUGAAUUGUGACACUAAGGCUUGUUUUAGUUACCCAUCAUGACUCUUUCAUGAAGGAAGUGACUUCCAAUUUGGUCUACACCAUCAUGUGGGACUUGCUCCAAAAUCAUAAAGAGACAUUCUGAAACAGUGACUGCUCAAAUUCAACCUCUCUCAAGGGGCAACAAAAAGAAAUUCACCAUAUCUGUACACAACUUUCAAAAGGGGAGCCACAAGAAAGUAAAAAGGCUAGCAGAAGAGGACAAUAAAAGGAAAAAAAUGUUUGAAAGCAGCAUGGAAACAAGUAGAAUUUUAAAGCAAAAGCAUCCUACCUGUCAAUAAAGACUUGAGAAAUGGCAAAUGCAAAUAGCUAAAUAGCAAUGCAAUGGAAACUAAUAAAUUAAGAAGGUGUCCUUGAAAAAAAAUGAAUUUGUGUCCAAGAAAUCAUAAACUUCAGCAGGCACAUUAUAAAAAGACAGUAAGGUGGAUCAGUGGAUCACAAAAAACGUCUGAAGAACAACUUGGAAAGGUGAAAAAAAUGAUGCCACAUACAUGUAUUUAUUUCAUAUAGAACAGAAGAAGAAAGCUUUGCAGAUAAUCUGCAAAAAGUAAAGAAAAAAAGUAAAGUAAAGAAAUAAUGUUUUAAGUAGAUAAAGGUUAUAACAUUGGAGGGGGGUUGUGGUUGGUUGGUUGGUUGUCUGUUUUUGUUGCUGCAUUCUGUAUUUAUUUAUUUAUUUAUUUAUUUAUUUUGCAUCCUGUUAACUGUGGGACAGUUUGAAUUGUAGAAGCAGGGAUCUUUCUUUUCAACAUAUGUGUCAGAGGCUUUGUCUGAAAUUAAAUUAUUGGCAGAAAAGGUUAUGGAUCAAGAUAAUAUGAGCAAUAACAAAUCACCGGGACCAGAUGGCUUCUGCCCCAGACUUCUGAGGGAAUUCGAGUGUGAAAUAGCCAAACUGCAAACUGUGGUGUGUAGAAAACUGACUCGGUGUCAGAGAACUAGAAAGUGGUUAAAACAACAACAUUUUAUUUAUUUAUUUAUUUAAUUAUAGAAAUACAUGUAGCUCCAGGGGAAUGAGUAAAGACUGGAAUUAAGUGACAUAUGGAUAAACACGAGAUGUCACAAACCUACUGGAGUUCUUUGAAGAGACAAACAAGCAUUUAGUUAGUGGAGUUUUCCUCAAUUUUGAUAGUAUUGACUGACUCAUCUGCAGACUGGACCCUUGGGAUUACCUCAGUAUCAGCAUGCUUCUGCCAGGAAAUUCUACCUGUCAAGUGGAGGAGGGAAGUUGUUUGGUUGUUGGAUAUUUUUUAAAAUUUACUUCUUAGUUUAAUUCAGAUUAAUCAAAAUGCUUGUAAGGUUCGUGCACCAGAAGUGUAAAGAGAAAACAAUUACAAAUAUGGUGUAAAGCUACAUCUAAAGAUCAUAUAAAGUCAGUGUUCAAGGUACUUCACAAUUUAUGCUUACUCUGAGAACAGCCAAAAUAAUCUACCUUUUAAUUAAAUUGAAGUUAAAUCACUUGAAUCUCAACAUUUUCAAAAACUUCAUUGCAUCAUCCCCAAUCAUAAAAUGUUUCUGAUUUUCCAUAGUUUUAACCUAUUUCUCUAAUCAUCAUCAAAAAUUAGAUGCAUGUUAUGUUGUGGGUGUGAUCCUGACACUUUCAUAAGAAAAUUUAAAGAGAAUAUUGUUCACAUACAGACAUAUGAGGAGAGUAUCAGGUAGUUGUCCAGUCCUGCACAUUGUCUACAGCACUGCUUCAGUGGAACACAUAGAAACUUCACACUCAGAGGAUUACUGUUUUUUCUUCCAUUGAAGGCAUGAACAAAAUAAUGCUGGAAAAUUUUGCAUAGUUUCUCGCACUGAGAUAAAUUGCAGAUUGUUUCCUUACAAAAUGUCAACUGAUAUUUAACACUUUGUUUUUAAUGUUAUCCUUUAUCUCAGUUGACAAAUGAUUCUUAAUGUGUGAACUUCUGGAAAGCUGGACUUCUUGAAAUGAGAGCAGUUUUCCUUUAAGCUACAUGAAAAUGUCACUUCCCUCCUCUCCGCAUGCUGGAGAAAUGCAAUGAAAUGUGGAAAUGAGAUCUGAGUCUAAAAUAAAUAAAUAAAUAAAUAAAGUUUUGUAUCUAUGAGAUUCUUGAAAACUGAAUUAAGUGGCAAAUGCCUUGAUGACAGGCAGCUUAGGAGGAGGCGUGAGAACAUUUUAACUAACAAAGGUGAAAUUUUUAAAAGGCAGCCUAAAUUUGAAAGGCAAGUGAUAUGCGAUAAUUGUUUUGUUUAAUAAACUUUUCUAGAUUUUUUUUUGAAAUUGUUAAAAGCAAAUUAGACUCCUGUUUAGUUUUUUCCAUAAUAGAUCUUUAAAUGAGGUUCCACAAUAAUUUCUGUGACUAAUUCUUAGAGAAGAAAUAGCAUGUACAAUGGUCAAUGACAAAAAAUUUGUUUACUUUAGGGAGGUCAGCAUUACAAAUUUAUUUGCUGCUUUUUUAUGAAGAUCUGCUAAUUAUGGUUCAUGUGUUAGAGGAAAUCUAGAGCAAAUCUAUUCCCUAAUUCCUAGAUGAGAGCUUAUUUACCUGACAAUUUGAUUUUUCCCUGACUGUCUUGUCUUUGUUUUGCUCUGAAAUGUGGUUGUAGUAUAAUUACAUACUUUUAAUGUAUGAAGCAGAACACUCUUAGUACAUCUUUAAGAUCUCAAACACCUUAACUUAAUUCAAUAUUAAUAUUUUUUUUUUCUGAUACAAAUGCUAAUAAAAAUAUGAAGAAUUUAUAAUCCUUAAAAUUAGCUGUACCAUUUGUUCUCACCUUAACAGGUAAUAACUGUUUUUUUCUGCCUAGUCUUCUAGUUUUUCAACUUAUCUCUAAGAAAUUGUAUAUUACUGCAGUCUAAAAAUAAAUAGACUGGACUAUUUACAGACAUCAUACAAAAUUGAAAAUAAAACCGUGCUACAAUAGCACACUUACACCAUUUCUUUACUAUAAUAGAAAGGAAAAUUCUUUUUUGGCUGUAAGUUAAUGAAAGUAUUUUAUAAAGCUUUCCAAUACUUACUUCAUCGUAAUCUUGCUACAUGAAAACAGCACUACAGCAUGCUAUUUACUGAAAACAUUGAGAAGAGCCAGUUGGACAAUUAGAGAAAAAAGUUGUCAAUUUUUCAGUAUAGAGAAAACAUUUUAUUCAAGCCAGAAUGUAUAACACUGAAAAUGCUAAUAAGCCUUCUAAAAUGUACAGGAAGGAAAAAAAAAAAAGUGCAAAUGCUAUUUCCACAUAAUUAAUACUUCUCUAAGGUUAUAAUUUUUUUCUUUUUCUAGCCAUAUAGUUUGAAAUUGUUUUCUCUAGAUAUUCCCAAGAGAAUCAAAUCCUAUCACUAUAAAACUGGUUCACCUAUAGGGAUAGAUACUGAUUCCUCUGACUUUUACAAUUUUUCCAUUGCUGCCGUUGUGUUCAACUUGGUGUCCACCAGGACCCCCAGGUCCUCCUCUGCCAAGCUGCUUUCCAACCACUGCUGGUGCAUGGGGUUAUUCCUCUCCAGGUACAGAACAUCGUAUUUUCCUUUGCUGGGCUACUACUCUAAGAAACUUCCAGGUCCGAGGAACUGGGAUAUUUUCAUGAGGAACCCAGAACCCCUCCCACUGUGCUCGCAGACACCCCAGACCCCUCCUUGCGUGCACGCAGGCACAACCCAGAAGAAUCCCACAAAGGCUUUCAUUUCCAACCUGAAGUGUUCCUAUGGUAUGUCCUUGGGCACUGGCAAGACCAUACUAAAUCAGUUGGGCUGGGAGCUGGACUGGGUUUACUUGGUAGCAGGAGGGCUACAGGCUUGCUGUACAGGCUCUCAGGAGGCAGCUGGAGGCAGCAGUCGGGUCCACCCCUGAGCCUUCUCUCCUUAAUGCUGACCCAAGGAGUUCCCUCAGCCUGCCCUUGUACGCCGUGUGCCCCAGGGCCACGCUGUCUUGAAUGCCCUGGGCUGGGCACACUACACUACACACACUGCACACACAUCGGUAUCUUUCCUCUCCUGGGAACACCCAGGGAAGGGGAUGCAGCAGUACAGACGCAGUCGCUAAAUUGUCCCCAAAGAAGAAAGUGGCUCUCUGUGAUUUUUUAUCACUUUUUCAUUUUAUUUUUUAUUGCUGUUUAUUGCCUGGUCUUGGAAGAGCUCCUAAUGAAGCUCUUCUUUGUUCUUCUCUGAAUGAACAGUGACGCUGCGCUCCAGCACCUCUUCCCGGCAGACGAGAAGUCUUCUGCUUCUUCAGAGGAGCAGCUGUCUCCCUAACAGCUUUGAUCUGCAGCUCUUCUUUGUGCUUUGCCGUGGAAGGUGCGGCUUCCUCUUCAAGCAGCCAUGGGGCAGCCUUCUUGUCCUCACACAGAGACAUCGCCGGGCUCCUGGUCCCAAGGUCCACCGUGGCUCUCUGAGGGGUUCCUUCUGCCGCCCUGGUGCAGCAUCCCAGAGGAAGCCAAGUCCCCUCUCGUCCACUCCUUGAGACUCCCUCCGUGCAGAAGAGAUGACACCUCUGGACGAGGUGGGGGUGGGGGAUGGAGGAUGGGGGAAAGGGAAGGGAAGGGAAGGAUGGCCGUGCUAUGAGGCACGGCGGCCGGGCCGUGGAUAAGGAGCUGGUGGUCUGCUCCUGCGGUGCCGCCGAUGGAUGUUGGCGGCUGGGAGCCCAGGCACGUCGAUGUCCAUUGCCUCGUCUGGAGGUGGAUCCACCUCCAUCAGGUCUUCAUCCGGAGGCAGAUCCACCUCCAUGGGCUCCACAGCAUUUGCUGCACCGCAGGGCACUGCUCCUUUGCGACCGGCGCCGGCCCUCUUCCACUUCCUCAACAGAGGCAGUGGCCUCAUUCUCUUUGGCUUGAGGAACGAAUCCUCUCCUGACCCACGUAAGGGUGGGCAGCCUCCGCUCCAGGUCCUCUUUCUUCCAUCCAUGACGGCUGUCAGAGGGCCUGGAAGCUCAGCGAGUGGCGGGCCCUGCGCAGGGGCCUUUUAUAGGGCCCGGCACAAUCCGGGGGGCAGAUGCCACUGUGACAUCAGGAAGCCUCUGUGACGGUGGCCAACGCAUGGCCAGACGUGGCUGUGUUGGGAGAGGUGUCGGUGGCCUGAAGGAUGCCCUCACGAGGCGAGGCAGGAGGAGGAGGGUCGGGGGGCAGAGGGCCCCUCUCCUGGGGGUGGCUCUCCCUGGCCAUUUGGCCUGCCAGAGAGACAGGCUGCCCCUCAGGCACAGGGCCUGCCCUCCAGCCCCCUCCUCAUCCUGUGCCUGGGCUCCCUGUGCCACAAGACAGUGGCAGCAGUGUUUCUGGAAGGGCAGGGCCUCCACUACCCCCCUGCCACCGACCAGGUUCCCCCCAUGCUGACAGCAGCUGAGAGGGGGCAAAGCACCCAGACAGCCUGCAGAUGGGCAAGGGAGGCACAGCCAGGUGCUGCCAGGUCUCCCAGCAGUCAAUAAAAGCUCUGCUGACACUCAAGUGCUGUGGGAGCCCUUCCUCUAUUAUUAAACCAUUCAUUAAUGCGGUAGAUAAAAACUCCGUUGCACUGAGAAUCUGCCAUGGCAUCACAGAAAGCAGAGAAGCGUCGCCUCAUCUAGCUUGGAAAAGACUCUUAAGAUCGUCAAGUCCAACCAUCCACCUAACUAUCAAGUCUACUACUAACCCAUGUCCCUGUGCGCCACAUCCGCACAUUUCUUAAGUCCUCCAGGGAUGGCAACUCCACUGCUUCCCUGGGCAACCCGUCCCAAUGCCUUACCACCCUUUUCUUGAAGAAAUUCUUCCUUAGACCCAUCUAACCCUCCCCCGGGGCAACUUGAGGCUGCUUCCUCACGUCCUACCAUUUGUCACCUGAGAAAAGAGAUUGAUACCAUACUUGGUUCAACCUCCUUGCAGGCCACUGUAGGGAGUGGUGAGGUCUCCCUUCAGCCUCCUUCUCUCCAGUGUACCCUGCUUGGAAAUGAUGCAGGUAUGCCAUGACAGGAAAACAAUCAUGCCAUGCAACGUAGCAUUAGGCUUUUCAACUUGUGGAAUAUUUCUCUUGUGCUGUUUAGAACAUAGACCACAGUCAAUUUCCGCUUUAAGAAAAUCCUUUUUUACCAAAAUUGAUUCUUGGCACUGCCGUCUAUGAAAUGAUUACUAAAGCAUGACGGAACACAAAGAUGAAAAACUCUUAGUGUAGCAUUCACUGCGCUGACUCCGUGUCAUUUGAAGUUCCUGAUACACUUGUUAAAUGUGCCUGGACAGCUUGAACUGUAUCUCUGGUACUCAGCAAAUAGCAAAUGACUGUACUGAAAACACCUGAAACUGCACCAGCUUACAUACAGAGUGCAGGGAGCAAUGCGCUUAGGCAUGAAGGAGGCUGUCACCAGCCUUUUAUUUCUUCAAUAUAAUGCAGGAAAACCCUAUAUUUUCCAAGCUAGGCUUUAUAGCUAAUUUCUUAUACUACUAUUGCAGUGUUGAAGCACCUCACAGCCUUCACCUCCUCUUGGAGUGUCUCUGUAAGAUAGAAGAAGACACCUUGGACACUGAGAUCAAACAGAAUCACAGAAGCAGAGCAUUACUGAGUCUGGAAGGGACCUCUGAAUAUCAUCUCGUCCAAAUUCCCUCCUCAAAACAGGGUCAACUAGAGCAGGUUGCUCAAGGUCAUGUCCACUCAAGUUUGGAAUAUGUCCAUAGAAGGAGACUCUACAACUGCUCUGGGCAAGCUGUUCCAACGCUCGCUCACCCUCCCAGUAAAAAAAAAAAAAUACAUAUACACAUUGACAAGAUCCCUCUGAUCCUUCUCUAAGCUGAAUAAUCCCAGCUCUCUCAGCCUUCCUCGUAUGAGAGACGCUCCCGUCCCUUAAUAAUCUUUAUUACUUUCCACUUCACUCUUGCUUCAGGAAGUCCAUGUCCUUCUGGUAGUGCAGAGCAGGGGAGGAGCCAGUGCCCCAGCUGGGGCCUCACCACUGCUAAGUAGAGGGAACAUCAUCUCCCUUGACCUGCUGGCAACACUGUUCCUGAUGUAGCCCAGGGUCCUGAUGGCUUUCUUUUUUUUCAAAGGCGCAUUACUGGCUUGUGUUCAACUUGGUGUCCACCAGGACCCCCAGGUCCUCCUCUGCCAAGCUGCUUUCCAGCCAGUGCUGGUGCAUGGGCUUAUUCCUCUCCAGGUACAGAACAUCGUAUUUUCCUUUGCUGGGCUACUACUCUAAGAAACUUCCAGGUCUGAGGAACUGGGAUAUUGUCAUGAGUAAACAAUGCAUUAGCAGAGCUUUGAGAAGUCAGCGUUGGGCUUUGCACCUUAGUGCCCACUGGCAUGCAAGACGCAACAAAGCCUGUGGGAGCAUUUUGUUCUGCCCAGGCUAAUUGGAUUUGCUUGUCACUUCAAGUUGUGCCGUAGCAGAAGACAAGACUACCUGCUAUAUGACAAGGAAAUCCUGCAGGAAAACCAACUUGUUUCUUUGUGCUUUCCAAAACAUUAAAUAGAAGGUGUAAAAU